GAGUUUGAUUAUGGCUCAGAUUGAACGCUGGCGGCAUGCUUUACACAUGCAAGUCGGACGGCAGCACGGGUGCUUGCACCUGGUGGCGAGUGGCGAACGGGUGAGUAAUGCAUUGGAACGUACCGAGUAGUGGGGGAUAACUGUCCGAAAGGAUAGCUAAUACCGCAUACGACCUCAGGGUGAAAGCAGGGGACCUUCGGGCCUUGCGCUAUUUGAGCGGCCAAUGUCUGAUUAGCUAGUUGGUGGGGUAAAGGCCUACCAAGGCGACGAUCAGUAGCGGGUCUGAGAGGAUGAUCCGCCACACUGGGACUGAGACACGGCCCAGACUCCUACGGGAGGCAGCAGUGGGGAAUUUUGGACAAUGGGCGCAAGCCUGAUCCAGCCAUGCCGCGUGUCUGAAGAAGGCCUUCGGGUUGUAAAGGACUUUUGUACGGGAAGAAAAGGCAGAUGCUAAUAUC
rnacentral:rRNA from 1 species